rnacentral:rRNA from 1 species
GUUAUACAAUAAAUGUGAAUUAAUAUUUUUGGUUUAUUUGAGUUAAUUUUUUUGUGAUUUUAAUAUAUUUAUUUUUGGGUGAAAUUUGAAUUUUUGUUAAUUUUGUUUAGAUUCUCUGAAAUAUAUAAUAUAAACUAGGAUUAGAUACCCUAUUAUAAUAUAUUUAAAAUAUGUACCUGGGUAGUAUUAGUUAUGUUCUUUAAACCUAAAGGAUUUGGCGGUGUUUUAGUCUAUUUAGAGGAAUUUGUCCCUUAAUCGAUAGUCCUCGUUGUAUCUUGCUUUCAUUUGUUUAUCAGUAUGUAUACCGCCGUUAUAAGUUUAUUUUUAUAGAAUUAAAAUUUACAGUAUUCUUUUAUUAGAAUUAUUUC